GCCGUGACUGUCGGGUUUCUGCCUACCUGUGGAUUAAUCUGUCUGAUUGGCCGUGACUGUCUGGUUUCUGCCUACCUGUAUAUUCAGCUGUCUGAUUGGCCGUGACUGUUGGGUUGGCAUCUACCUGUGGGUUCCACCGUAUGAUUGGCAGUGACAGCCCGGUUUCCUGGUUGUAAGACAUUGUAUAGGCGGGGAAGUUCCAGCAUUAGCCAAUGCUCUGAGUUACAUCACCCUGAAGAAUAACCCAUGACUUCCCCAUCCGGGUUACCUCAAGGUUAAAGAAGACGGUUCGAACCCCAGUUCUGGUGGAGUAAAGGCAAAGCAUAAUAUCUGGUGAAUCCAAAUCCUCGGUGGAUCCUACCACUCAUGUUCCCUUGAGCAAGGCACCUCAUUCCACAAACUACAGCUGCCCUGUUUUACAUGCUCGAUUAUUGGGUGUGUGUUAGUGUAUUGGAGGGACUUGGUUAAAACAGAAGACAUUUCCAAAAAGCCUAUCAUGUUAUUAGCAAUAAACUUAAGCAGUGUCUUAUGUUCACACUAACUGCUCAUGUUCACAUUAUCAAGACACUGCUUAAGUUUACUUGAACCCACAAUCUUGGCACUGGCCCUCGUGGAAGUCGAACCCACAACCCUAGCACUGGCCCCCGUGGGUGUCAAACCCACAACCCUAGCACUGGCCCCCGUAGGUGUCAAACCCACAACCCUAGCACUGGCCCCCGUGGGUGUCAAACCCACAACAUUAGCACUGGCCACCGUGGGUGUCAAACCCACAACAUUAGCACUGGCCCCCGUGGGUGUCAAACCCACAACCCUAGCACUGGCCCCCGUGGGUGUCAAACCCACAACAUUAGCACUGGCCCCCGUGGGUGUCAAACCCACCACCUUAGUAGUCGACCCGACCAAUUGACCCACAGUGUUCAAGGUGCGCUCCCAAUGAAAAUUCCUUUACAGUCCAGUACUGGGUGUGAGAGCGAUCAAGCGCCCCCUUCUGGAAAAAGAGAAGUGGACAGUCUACAUUUCACACAUUAAGACAGCAUUUAUCUACACGGACUUACAGGAGCGAUAAGGGCUAAUAGUCCUGCUCAAGGAGGGGUUGAUUUUGCUGGCUCAGGGAUUUGAUCACGCAAACUUUUUUGGUUAAAGGUCAAGUAUCCAGGUGCCAUCUGCUGCCACACCAAAUCAGACGUGUCAUAAAGCCUGAAAAACACCCUCAAGUCACCUUUUGUUUUAAAAAUCAUCAGCAGUAUAAUUUGUAAGAAUUACGCGGUUUAAAAGAGCGAUGCACAUUUUGAUAAACUUUUUGCUCAGAUUUAGACAAUGUAAAUAUUUUGCUGUGAACCUUUCUAAUUAAACAUGUUAUUUCACAUAAUUUACACUUAUUGUUUACUUGAUCGUGAGCCACAGCUGUAGUGAUGGCCAAAAGAGGCUUCAUUAGCGUUAUUUUUGCAGCAGGAUAUUAUGCUGGCAGCACUCAGAUUUUCAUUUUCACAAUAAAAGCCUUCAUUGACAUUUAGAAAGGCUAUAUAGUUAAUCUAGAAUGUAAAAAAAGAAUAGACAAGAACAACACUGGAAGAGACAUUAAACAUAAAAUGACAGACUUGACUGUUAACUAUAUCACCUUAUAUAAUUCAAUGGUGGCUUUUAUUUUGAAAAAGUGUAUCUGAGUUACAGCUGCUAGCAUAAAAUCCCGCUGCUAGACGAACAGCCAUCACUAGUUUACCGUUAUAUAGCGACUAUUUCUGGUGGAUUUUUGAAUUAUGUCUUAGCAUUUCGUCAGGAUAGUCAAACACUUCGCUGGCUGCAUGAUUCUCCUGUCUUUUCACUUGACGUAAAAUCUGUUAUUGUCACCUAUAUUGAUACAGUAGUUAUAUCAAUUCAUGAAUGGCAAAUAAGCUGUUAAAACGGCCAGUGGCAAAAGUUAUACAGUUCAUAUACACUUUUUCUGGAGGAGGUAAACUUACUAUGAAACGUUACUCCUUUUAACACGGUGGUUAAUGGUGUCUAACGAAAUAUUCAAACAUGAUGUUAAUGCAUGACAACAUUAUAAUGUCAAUGUGCUAUACUGACACCCGGCAAAUGGUCAGCUCUGUGGUGCUGUGGUUAAAG
ensembl:lncRNA